rnacentral:lncRNA from 1 species
CAGUACGUGAAUCAAAUUGAAACGGUUGUGUACAUAUUUGUUUUUCGUAUUUCAAUACAGUAGCGUUACUUUUUAAUCUAACUUUAGUACUAUAGCAGUUGGUGAACAUUGCAAACGAAACUAGGAAAUGUUCCAUUGAAAGUAUCUCACGUGCAUGUAGAAUAAUAAAGUUUGCAUCUAAGUAUGGAGUUAAUGAAAUACAAUGCAGCAUACAGAUUGUGGUAUCCUCUCGUUAAGUUUCGGAGCUGAUUUCGAACGACGUUGGUCUCCUCCACGCAAGCUGGUCAUCUCUGCAGCCUGUGCCAGGCACAUUGUCGACAUGUCGUUACUUGGGUUCUGGUCAGCACGUGGAUUUUAUGCGAUUUUACUCGCACAAUUACCGCACACCGCCCCAGAAAUCUGUGGUUUUCGUGGUCGAUCGUUAGGACUGGCGGCCACCCGCUCGCAGACAAACAAUUCGAAACGAAGAUCCUGGACAAGACCUCUUCCGUCGAAUCAGCCGACAACACGGAUAGCUUCUCAUACUUUUCAGCCGGGAAAUCGUAAUGAGAAAAAAUUCCCGGCUUCGUUAAGUUCAAGAUGGAACGAUGGUGCUGUUAAUUCUUUUAAAAGCUAGAUAGCUGGGGCACAUCAGAAUAAUUUGCUUGAGUUCAAUGACCGAGAUAUAUUUUUGUAGAAUUAUUAGGUCAUCCCAUAAGUUCGUGCCGACUUUUGUGUAUACAUUUCAUGUGUCGAUUU